GACAGAGGGGGCAAACGUUGCUCGGAAUCACUGGGCGUAAAGGGCGCGUAGGCGGGAUGGCAAGUCGGUCGUGAAAUCCCUCGGCUCAACUGAGGAUCGUCGAUCGAUACUGCCGUUCUUGAGGAUUGCAGAGGAGACUGGAAUUCCCGGUGUAGCGGUGAAAUGUGUAGAGAUCGGGAGGAACACCGGUGGCGAAGGCGGGUCUCUGGGCAAUUCCUGACGCUGAGGCGCGAAAGCGUGGGGAGCAAACGGG
rnacentral:rRNA from 1 species